CUGAUAAUGGUGGCCACGGUGAACCUACUCAGGUUUGGACGGACUCUUAGUCCUGCUUCAGCCAUUGUCAUGCCAUGGACAAUGACAUGGUCAAUGACUGUUGCUCGCAUCUCGUCCGUAAUGAUGGUGUGAGGUUGUCGUGCUCUCCCUCCUGGACCUUCUCCUCUCCCUUGUUGGCCUCCUCCUCUCCCUUGUUGGCCUGGCAAUUUCUAAAUUAUGAAACACGACCAAGACUUGCUUCAAGUUAGAAUCCACUGGCCAAUGUUAAAUGUAUUGUCUUUGUGUAUGUCCGUUUAAAUGUUGUGUUUGUCCAAAUGUUGCAAACUGCCUGCAUAACAAAACUAACUACUAACUGCAAACCUGCUUAUUUGUGCUAUUUGUUCUGUAUGUCUGAAUGUUUGAUGAUUUAAAAGUUAAUGACAUCAAUGAUAAAAAUAGAGAAAGAAAAUGUGUGCUACAUUCAUGAUGACAUUUGUAAAACAGUUGUUCCCAGUUUAGGCUAAAUAUUCUCUACGGUCUCUAUAAGAAAAACAAAUGAAUAAAUAAAAUGGUUAUGGUAGGCUAAAUUGACAGUAAGCUGGAUUUUUUUGUAUGUGUUUACAUAUCUAGACAUGCACACCCAAUGUUAAACCCAACGUCCUCACAAAGGCUUUAAGGUUCGAUUAUUUGGGGACAUGACAUAAAAUAUACUUAGAUCUUGGAGUUGUAGUAAAAAUGGGGGAGAAGAACUUUGUUAACUAAAAUAUAGAAAAAUGAGGUGGAGUAGGAAUUACAUGACUAUGAUAAACUGAAGCACUUGUAUAAAUGUAUAAAGCAUGAUAAGGUCACUCAUUUAGCAGUUUCUAAUAUUUUAAUUGGGAAGCUAGUCAGGAGACUGUUGUUUUGUCUUUUAUUUUGUUCCUAAAUUACCCAGUCUGGUUCAGAAAGUGUUGUUGUUUAUUUGGUUGGGAGCCUAUCCUAUAGAAGUCACAUGUUUGAAUCAUGAACUAUAGUUAAAUGACCAAAGGGAUAAUUCAAUAAAAAAAAAUUCUCUCAAAGUAAAAAAAAACCAGUAACAAUUAGUUAACAGUAACGUCAUCAGCUAUAGCUAGAUAACUAGCAAUACAAACGACGGACACAUUUUUAAAGGGAAAUAUUUAGCAAACGUUACGCUCGCCCGUAUACAGGUAGGAAUGUUUCGCGGCAGACUGAAACAAUUAUACAUCCUCUGAUUGCAUACAAAGUCCUUGGUUUUUUCUGUUGACGGUGUUUACAACGCGUUUUUUCGCUUCACACUCAAGGCUUUCAAUACUCCAAUAAUCUAUGCAUCUUUCAUUGCCGCUAUAUCAUAACUGCCAUGAUUGUCAUUUUCUUGUAAAUGUAAUCCGUGGACAGUUGUUUCAUACAAGAGGAGCUAGCGCUUUCUUUCCACAAUUGGCACUGCAAUGAAAUGCCUCAAUUUUGCCUGUAAGUUUUGAACAGUAUCAAAGUCUGGGAUUUCCUCAUCGUCGUCAUCAUUCAUCUUCUGAGUCAUGGCAUCACAGUACUCCAGAAAGUAAUAUCUCACAACCUUGUUGAUAAAACCAGCAAAAUUCAGGGCAGCGAUGUGACUCGCAGCUGUAGCAAUGGGAUCACAGUUGCCCAUUUUUGAAAAUCCCAGGAUCACAACGAUUUAUUGACCAUGCAGUCGUGUUAUUACGGUUGUAACAUGAUAGACCAAUCAGAACUCAGUAUGUCUGCAUGUCCAGCCCCUUCAUUAUCUCAGCCAAUGGAAGGAAAAGCCAUGUAUUUUCCACAGGUUAAACAAGGGUUUUAGUUAAAUGUAUUCACAUUUACAAAUCACAUACUAGUUUGUUGUUAAGUCACAUUAAAGUUCACAUUUUCAAGAAGGCAUUACUGCAAAAAAGACAAAACAUUUCUUACAGACGGCUGUCCUGAAAAGUAGUGACAUAAGCCCAGUUAUUCGAAUUCUGUCACUGACUUAACAGUCUCUGAUGCUACUGAUGCGAUAUGGCAUUGUACAUCUUUUAUGUAAAUACUUUCUAUCAUUGCUGCUUUACAAAUAUAAUUUAGGAGUUUUUAAAUUGUUCAGUAAUGCAGUAAAUGAGUGUCAACUUUCAACUAUACAACUAUACAGAUGAUAGUAAAGAUUUUAUACUUAUGGAAAUAACACUUUUCUUUUGUCAGUAUGACAUGUCCUGAAGAUAGAUUAAACAUUUGUUGUCAAUUUUGUGUAAUUUGAUCAAAAUAUCAGUCCUGGUGGAGGCUAGAAUACCAGUAAAAAUCUUUUUUUUUGUUUGUCAAUGGCAAAACUCCAAAUUAAACAAAUUGUGAUUUUAUGUUGUAACACAAAAACAAUGGUUUCUGGAAAAAGUCCAAUGGGUUAAAUACUUUUGAGAGCCCCCAUAUUCAAUUACGGGAAAUGGAAAAACCAACAACUCAAAGGCACAUUGGUCCGCACAUCAAAUUAAUUCACUCUUUAUUUUUCACAUGCACUAAAGACUACUGGUAUAAACCUUAGAGGUAAAUAUUUACACACCAUACAACGCAGCUUGAAAACAACCCUGAGAAUACAAACAAUGAACACAAUAUCAUAAAGGCCAUACACCGAAACACAAGAAAUGCCAAUAGCUACAACACAAACUACAUAAAAUAGUAUAAGUGAUAAUAGUGUGUAGUAAAUCAGUAAUAAGCAGGUCAUAUUUUAACAUAUUUAACAUUGUUUAGACAAAAGGAAAUCAGACAUGUACAAAACCCCUGAGAUGAGGUGGGACCUCAAUUAAGCCCUUAUCUUUAAGAACAUUUUGUGAAGGUGCUGUAUUUGGCCCAGAGUUAAAUUGUAAAUGUGGACAGUAGCAAGAAAUUAGAUCUGUGAACCUGUUAUGACUUUUUAGACAAUACAUUCUUACUUUCCGUAUCCAUUAAUUUGCUUACAGAUUGAUUUCUAUCAAAAUGUUGUUAACUUGUAAGUAGCGAGUCACAAAUAUAUACUGAGAGUCACAAAUAUAUAAUUAAACUGUCAAAUAAUAAUCACAAUCUAAAAAUAUGUGCAUACAGUUUCACAAACGUUAAAAUCCAAAAACAAAGGAUGAUUAUCAAACAAAUGUAAGACCCUUAUUUAUGUUCAAAAGAUUUGUGAAUGUCACAGCAUUUGUCAUCAGCAUUUUACAGAUUUGUGACUUGUAUUACAUUUGUGAGUGGCUUUACAUAUUUGUGAGUCGCAUUUUAUAGAUCAGAUACACACAGAAUUCAGAUUAGGACCUCUUACUUCUGGGUAUGCUUAGUCUCCAGAUGUUAAAAAAAAUUAUAAUUCAAAAUGACAAACCACAUAUUUUCUUUUAUAAUGAAAGUUUUUGGUAAUAAUUAUAUUUCACACUGGGCCAGUUGGUAUUUAAUAAUCUUUCUGACUGAAUAAAAAAUCAUCAAAAUUAACUAUAAAUCUGAAACAACAGUAUUUCAUCCCUAUUUUUGAAAGUAAAAUCCGCUCAGUGGUGAAAGUCCUAUUAACAUUUCAAGUACCAAAAGUACUAUGCAAAUUUUUAUCAUUAUAAUGUAAUAUAUUUUUUUAGGAUAUUAUGCUAGCAGAGCUAACUCAGAUUUUCUUUUUCAAAAUAAAAGGCAUAGUUGAAAUAUAUAAGGCAAUAUAAUUAACAAUCUAGUCUGUACAUUUUAUGUUUAAUGUCGGUUCCAAUUUUUUUAUUGUCUGUUCUUUUUCACAGACUAGAUUGUUAUCUAAAUUGCCUUAUAUUUUUCAAUAAUGGCUUUUAUUAUGAUGAAGAAAAUCUGAGUGCUGCUAGCAUAAUAUCCUGCUGCUAAAAUAGCGCUAAUGAAGCCUUGAAUGGCCAUCACUAGUUUUAUGUACAGUAUGCCUUUUUAACAAAUUUACAUUAUGGCUUAUUUUACAAUCCCAACAAUAUGUACUCUUGAGCUUUUGGCAGCUAUCUAACUCCAUACUUAAGAUCAAUGUAAACAUUGGGGAAUAAAAUGCUUACACAAACUGUAAUAAUGUACUAUUUUAAUGGUAACCAUUCAAUUCUCACUUCUUUAGUUGGGCGUGUGUGUGAGAUGAAUUUACCAAACUGUGAGAUUACUUUAACAAUUAACAACAAAACUGCCUGUCUCAACUAAUGAUGCAUGUUCUCUUGUGAUAUUCACUGCCUUAGAUGGGAAAAAGCGGUUAACAAUUUAACUGUUGUGUUAAGUGUAUCAACUCAGUGUUUUUUUUUUUUACAUAUGGUACCAUACUGAAUGUUUUCAUAAUCUGUGGUAUUUUCAUAGAUUGACUCAUCUUCAGGGUAGAAGGGGUGUUGGGGCUUACAGUUGGGAUGUUUUCUUUCCACUUCUACAUUCACUUCUGUAUUUACAUAAAUAUCCUACGGAGAACAACAAGGAAAGGAAAGUGACAUGGUCACACAUUUUAAAACAUUUAGCAGGUUUAUAUUUAGCAGCGUAGCACAGUAGUGAGUGCAUAGUUUAUUUACAGUGCAGUCUGUGAACAUCUAUUAUAUUGGGUCUGUAUUGUAUAGUCAGGGUAAAUGAACCCCAGGAUUUUUACUCUUUUCUGGGGGGGGGGGGUUCAAAUUAAAUAUUUUUUUUAUACCCACAUCUUAGGGCACUUAAAACAUUAUGACCACCUGCCUAAUAAGCUGUUGAUCCUCCACGUGAUGCCAAAAUGCUUGUUGACCUACCCGGGCAUGGAUUCCUGAAGGAGUCCUGUGCACAUGGUAUCUGGCACAAAUAUAUUAGCAGCAGAUCCUGUAAGUCUCAAUCUGGGGAAGAUCUGGGGAAUUUGGAGGCCAGGGCAAAAAAUUCAACUCAUCAUGUUCCUCAAACCAUUCCUGAACAAUGUGUGCAGUGUAGCAGGGCGCAUUAUCCUGCUGAAAGAGGCCACUGCCAUAAGGGAAUACCAUUGAUCCCCAAAUCCUUGGCUACCAGUCAAACUGUUUUUGUGGUCAGUUCAUUAGCUAGAACUCUCCUGCGACUGCCGACCAUAGAAGCAUCAAACUUAGUCAAGAAAAUUGAAGAGGUGUUUUCUGGGCUGGGCAAACUGGAGACCAAGAUCAAGUUGAAUGCAUGAUGCCGUUCCAAAUGCACUGACAAUACUGAGAAGGGUCCCUAUACCACACUGAGAAGGGUCCCUAUACCACACUGAGAAGGGUCCCUAUACCAUACUGAGAAGGGUCCUUAUACCAUACUGAGAAGGGUCCCUAUACCACACUGAGAAGGGUCCCCAUACCACACAGAUAAGGGUCUCCAUACCACACAGGGAUGGGUCCCCAUACCACACCGAGAAGGGUCCCCAUACCACACCGAGAAGGGUCCCCAUACCACACCGAGAAGGGUCCCUAUACCACACGGAGAAGGGUCCCCAUACCACACAGAUAAGGGUCUCCAUACCACACAGGGAUGGGUCCCCAUACCACACCGAGAAGGGUCCCCAUACCACACCGAGAAGGGUCCCCAUACCACACUGAGAAGGGUCCCUAUACCACACAGAGAAGGGUUCCUAUACCAUAUUGAGAAGGGUCCCUAUACCAUACUGAGAAGGGUCCCCAUACCACACAGAUAAGGGUCUCCAUACCACACAGGGAUGGGUCCUCAUACCACACCGAGAAGGGUCCCCAUACCACACCGAGAAGGGUCCCUAUACCACACUGAGAAGGGUCCCCAUACCACACAGAUAAGGGUCUCCAUACCACACAGGGAUGGGUCCCCAUACCACACCGAGAAGGGUCCCCAUACCACACCGAGAAGGGUCCCCAUACCACACCGAGAAGGGUCCCCAUACCACACCGAGAAGGGUCCCUAUACCACACCGAGAAGGGUCCCUAUACCACACCGAGAAGGGUCCCUAUACCACACCGAGAAGGGUCCCUAUACCACACUGAGAAGGGCCCCUAUACCAUUGAUGGAAAAAGUAAAAGAGGGACUGAAACAAAUGGGUCACAUUGGUGUCAUCACCUGUUGACAAAGCUACAGAGUGGUGUGCAGGCAUGGUAGUGGCACCUAAGGCAGAUGGCAAAAUCAGGGUUUGUGUAGACUUAACCAACCUUAACAAAGUAGUGUGCAGAGAGCGCCACAUCCUGCCAUCAGUGGAACCAUCCUUAGUUUAGCUCAGCGGAUGUAAGGUUUUCACCAAGCUAGAUGCUAGUUCAGGUUUCUGCCAGGUGCCACCAGCACCGGAAAGUUGAAAACUUUCCACAUUUGUGACAGCAUUUGGCAAAUUUGGUUUAAAGGUAUUGCCAUUUGAUAGCAUCAGGACCAGAGCAUUUUCAAAUGUGAAUGUCACAACUACUAAACAGACUCGAGGAGGUCAUCUGUCAUACCGAUGAUGUAUAGAUCUGUGGGGAGGUCAAAUACAGCUCCAGAAAAAAUAAAGAGACCACUGCACCUUUUUUUUUGCUUUCCAAAAAAGUAGAAAAGGAAAGUUUUGAGUGAGGAACAGAAGCAUUCAAUUUGCAGUGGUCUCAAACAAAGAGCCCAGGUCAACGCAUCUAAAACACUACAGCAGGGGCUCAAGCCACUGUGUUAAAAACUGCCAGCACACCUUGACCCUACAUCUUUGAGCCUGACACAGGGGGCAAACCCGAAGGACAAGUGCUCAUCUUAAUGUGCUCCCAGAACAAGUGCAAACCGGACACGCACCUCAGGUGACCGCACAGCAGGGUGGAGCCCAGUGGGAGCACACUGAUGCUGAGAGAACACUGGAACAGACAGCACCUGAAAGGAGGAGCCAGCCAUCAAGGGCUGUCAAACAACCAGGGCGGUUGAAAGGCAAUGCUCCUUGAGUCAUUUGGUUACUCAAACCCAACAUGUUUUGUAAGUUAUUGAUAGUAAGCUGAGUAAUUGGCUUGAAUUGCUCUUCAUCCACUCAAGUUAUUUGUGGAUACAUUGGUGUUCAGAGAAACUGUAAAUGCACAUAUGAAGAGGGAAGCUUUGAUGUGCAGGUUUGUGAUGGUUAUGGGGAUCUAUGCACAGAAAGGGAGAUGUAUUAAUGUGCAUCGCUAGGUUUGUCCUACGACCAGCCCCGUAGUUCCUUGAGGGGUCAGAAGAAGGGAGUUGGAAUCAAAAGGAAAAAGGCUAACCGGCUACGUGUCUCCGUCUCAUUCCUUCCAUAAACAGAAAUAACACACCCUUGUUUGGAGAUGGUCAACAUUAUUCGCUUCACCUGUGAGUGGUCAUAAUGUUUUGGCUCAUCAGGGUAUAGUGAGGAGACUGAAUAUAGGGACUGUGGUUAUUGUGUCAGUCUCUGAACCCGAUAGUUAUCAGAAUGAAGACAUUGCAGUAGACAGGUAAAGUGGACAGAGUGAAGAAAAGGCUCUCACCUCAAAUACUCCUGUUUUUCUCUGUAAUUUUGCAGAUGCUGUGUGUCAUACACAUUCAAGAGAGGAAACAAGAAAUUG
ensembl:lncRNA